UAAAAAUAGUAAUUUUUACUUUUGCGGACAAUUACAUUUUUGGGACAUUUCUGACACGGACAAAAUUCCCCCAAGCACUUCCCAAUUGUUUGUGCAGUUCACGUCUGCAGACAUUUGCUCAUCUCCCGUCAGAACAUGAUCUGCACACGUGUUCACAUUUUCUAUCUGUUGCCCUCAUUGCAGUCAUUGUUUUCGUUAAUAAUAAUAACUUUGGAAAUGUGUGCGUUUCUAUCAAACUACCCUGACCUUAUGACUCCCGAGUGGCGCAGAGGUCAAAGGCACAGCACAUCAGUGCUACAGGCGUCACUACAGACUCCCUGGUUCAAAUCCAGGCUGCGUUUCUAUCAAAAAACCACAAACAUUAUUUGCCAAUAUCAUAACUGGAGCUGGACAGCUUUGGAGCAG